UACGUAGGGGGCAAGCGUUGUCCGGAUUCAUUGGGCGUAAAGAGCGUGUAGGCGGCCAGGUAGGUCGGUUGUGAAAACUGGAGGCUCAACCUUCAGAGGUCGACCGAAACCAUCUGGCUAGAGUCCGGGAAGAGGAGAGUGGAAUUCCUGGUGUAGCGGUGAAAUGCGCAGAUAUCAGGAAGAACACCAAUGGCGAAGGCAGCUCUCUGGGACGGUACUGACGCUGAGACGCGAAAGCGUGGGGAGCGAACAGG
rnacentral:rRNA from 1 species